rnacentral:rRNA from 1 species
CGUGCCUAACACAUGCAAGUCGAGCGGCAGCGAGUUUUACACUGAAUUCUGGAAGCUUCUAGUAUAAAGAGAAGAUUUAUUCAAGAAUUUUGUGUAAAAUGUCGGCGAGCGGCGGACGGCUGAGUAACGCGUAGGAAUUUGCCCCAAAGUGAGGAAUAACUGCCCGAAAGGGUAGCUAAUGCCGCAUAUGGUCUUCGGAUUAAAGCCUUCGGGCGCUUUGGGAGAAGCCUGCGUUGGAUUAGGUAGUUGGUAGGGUAAUGGCCUACCAAGCCGACGAUCCAUAGCUGGUCUGAGAGGAUGAUCAGCCAGACUGGAACUGAGACACGGUCCAGACUCCUACGGGAGGCAGCAGUGAGGAAUCUUCCACAAUGGGCGAAAGCCUGAUGGAGCAACGCCGCGUGAAGGAUGAAGGCCUUCGGGUUGUAAACUUCUUUUAUGAGUGAAGAAUAUGACGGUAACUCAUGAAUAAGCACCGGCUAACUACGUGCCAGCAGCCGCGGUCAUACGUAGGGUGCAAGCAUUAUCCGGAGUGACUGGGCGUAAAGAGUUGCGUAGGCGGUUUAAUAAGUGAAUAGUGAAACCUGGUGGCUCAACCAUACAGACUAUUAUUCAAACUGUUAAACUCGAGAAUGGUAGAGGUAACUGGAAUUUCUAGUGUAGGAGUGAAAUCCGUAGAUAUUAGAAGGAACACCGAUGGCGUAGGCAGGUUACUGGGCCAUUUCUGACGCUAAGGCACGAAAGCGUGGGGAGCGAACCGGAUUAGAUACCCGGGUAGUCCACGCCGUAAACGAUGGAUACUAGCUGUUGGAGGUAUCGACCCCUUCAGUAGCGAAGCUAACGCGUUAAGUAUCCCGCCUGUGGAGUACGGCCGCAAGGCUAAAACAUAAAGGAAUUGACGGGGACCCGCACAAGCGGUGGAUUAUGUUCUUUAAUUCGAUGAUAACCGAAGAACCUUACCAGGGCUUGACAUCCAGGGAAGGUCUGCGAAAGUAGACUGUGCCUUUUGGAACCCUGUGACAGGUGAUGCAUGGCCGUCGUCAGCUCGUGUCGUGAGAUGUU